rnacentral:rRNA from 2 species
GGCUAAACCAUGCACCGAAGCUGCGGCAGCGACACUGUGUGUUGUUGGGUAGGGGAGCGUUCUGUAAGCCUGUGAAGGUGUGUCGUGAGGCAUGCUGGAGGUAUCAGAAGUGCGAAUGCUGACAUAAGUAACGAUAAAGCGGGUGAAAAGCCCGCUCGCCGGAAGACCAAGGGUUCCUGUCCAACGUUAAUCGGGGCAGGGUGAGUCGACCCCUAAGGCGAGGCCGAAAGGCGUAGUCGAUGGGAAACGGGUUAAUAUUCCCGUACUUGGUGUUACUGCGAAGGGGGGACGGAGAAGGCUAUGUUGGCCGGGCGACGGUUGUCCCGGUUUAAGCGUGUAGGUGUGUGUUCCAGGUAAAUCCGGUUCACUUUAACACUGAGGCGUGACGACGAGGCACUACGGUGCUGAAGCAACAAAUGCCCUGCUUCCAGGAAAAGCCUCUAAGCAUCAGGUAACAUCAAAUCGUACCCCAAACCGACACAGGUGGUCAGGUAGAGAAUACCAAGGCGCUUGAGAGAACUCGGGUGAAGGAACUAGGCAAAAUGGUGCCGUAACUUCGGGAGAAGGCACGCUGACACGUAGGUGAAGUGAUUUACUCAUGGAGCUGAAGUCAGUCGAAGAUACCAGCUGGCUGCAACUGUUUAUUAAAAACACAGCACUGUGCAAACACGAAAGUGGACGUAUACGGUGUGACGCCUGCCCGGUGCCGGAAGGUUAAUUGAUGGGGUCAGCGCAAGCGAAGCUCCUGAUCGAAGCCCCGGUAAACGGCGGCCGUAACUAUAACGGUCCUAAGGUAGCGAAAUUCCUUGUCGGGUAAGUUCCGACCUGCACGAAUGGCGUAAUGAUGGCCAGGCUGUCUCCACCCGAGACUCAGUGAAAUUGAACUCGCUGUGAAGAUGCAGUGUACCCGCGGCAAGACGGAAAGACCCCGUGAACCUUUACUAUAGCUUGACACUGAACAUUGAGCCUUGAUGUGUAGGAUAGGUGGGAGGCUUUGAAGUGUGGACGCCAGUCUGCAUGGAGCCGACCUUGAAAUACCACCCUUUAAUGUUUGAUGUUCUAACGUGGACCCGUUACCCGGGUUGCGGACAGUGUCUGGUGGGUAGUUUGACUGGGGCGGUCUCCUCCUAAAGAGUAACGGAGGAGCACGAAGGUUGGCUAAUCCUGGUCGGACAUCAGGAGGUUAGUGCAAUGGCAUAAGCCAGCUUGACUGCGAGCGUGACGGCGCGAGCAGGUGCGAAAGCAGGUCAUAGUGAUCCGGUGGUUCUGAAUGGAAGGGCCAUCGCUCAACGGAUAAAAGGUACUCCGGGGAUAACAGGCUGAUACCGCCCAAGAGUUCAUAUCGACGGCGGUGUUUGGCACCUCGAUGUCGGCUCAUCACAUCCUGGGGCUGAAGUAGGUCCCAAGGGUAUGGCUGUUCGCCAUUUAAAGUGGUACGCGAGCUGGGUUUAGAACGUCGUGAGACAGUUCGGUCCCUAUCUGCCGUGGGCGCUGGAGAACUGAGGGGGGCUGCUCCUAGUACGAGAGGACCGGAGUGGACGCAUCACUGGUGUUCGGGUUGUCAUGCCAAUGGCACUGCCCGGUAGCUAAAUGCGGAAGAGAUAAGUGCUGAAAGCAUCUAAGCACGAAACUUGCCCCGA